rnacentral:rRNA from 1 species
CAGCACCUCAAGUGGUCAGGAUGAUUAUUGGGCCUAAAGCAUCCGUAGCCGGCGCUGUAAGUUUUCGGUUAAAUCUGUACGCUCAACGUACAGGCUGCCGGGAAUACUGCAGCGCUAGGGAGUGGGAGAGGUAGACGGUACUCGGUAGGAAGGGGUAAAAUCCUUUGAUCUAUUGAUGACCACCUGUGGCGAAGGCGGUCUACCAGAACACGUCCGACGGUGAGGGAUGAAACCCUGGGGCGCGAACCGGAUUAGAGACCCGCGUAGUCC